rnacentral:rRNA from 1 species
CCCUAGUAACGGCGAGUGAAGCGGCAACAGCUCAAAUUUGAAAUCUGGCCCUCGGGUCCGAGUUGUAAUUUGUAGAGGAUGCUUUUGGUGCGGUGCCUUCCGAGUUCCCUGGAACGGGACGCCAUAGAGGGUGAGAGCCCCGUCUGGUUGGACACCAAUCCUCUGUAAAGCUCCUUCGACGAGUCGAGUAGUUUGGGAAUGCUGCUCUAAAUGGGAGGUAUAUGUCUUCUAAAGCUAAAUAUUGGCCAGAGACCGAUAGCGCACAAGUAGAGUGAUCGAAAGAUGAAAAGCACUUUGAAAAGAGAGUUAAACAGUACGUGAAAUUGUUGAAAGGGAAGCGCUUAUGACCAGACUUGGGCUUGGUAGAUCAACCUGGGUUCUCCCUGGUGCACUCUUCCUCGUCCAGGCCAGCAUCAGUUCGCUGCGGGGGAUAAAGGCUUCGGGAAUGUGGCUCCCUCGGGAGUGUUAUAGCCCGUUGCGUAAUACCCUGCGGUGGACUGAGGUUCGCGUUCUGCAAGGA